GGCUUUGCUGUCUGUAGCUGGAUCACCUUGGAGCACACCCUCAGACAUCGCCAGAGGAGGAAGAGGUUCACCUUGUCUCCCUUUCCGCUGCUUUUUUCAUCUUUGAUGCUACAGACACAAGGCAUUGCCUAUAGGUAUGCAGGCCUAGUGCUUGCUCAGGGCAGACAAAAUAUCAGUAGCUCAGCCUUAGCAUCUGGCGAGACUUGGCAUUAAGA
rnacentral:lncRNA from 1 species